AAGAAUUAAAUGGAUGAAAUAUGAAGUUUUAUUAAAAGAAAAAGAGGUGAAAAGAACAAAGUUUUGUUCAUCUUUGUUCAUCAUAGCUGAAAGUUAGAGAAGAGAAAGGAGAGGAGAAAGCUCUUGAGUAUUUGGUCAUUAGGAGGAGGAAAAUUGAAGGCGGUUCGUGUGUGGAUCUUGUCAGCAUAUCGUCGCAAACAGGAAAUCCCCAACCAUAGUGGGCUUGGAGCUGUGAGGGAAUUCGGAGUGGC